UACGUAGGCAGCGAGCGUUGUUCGGAGUUACUGGGCGUAAAGAGUGCGUAGGCGGUUUUCUAAGUUUGGUGUGAAAUCUCCCGGCUCAACUGGGAGGGUGCGCCGAAGACUGGAAGGCUGGAGUGUGGGAGAGGUAAGCGGAAUUCCUGGUGUAGCGGUGAAAUGCGUAGAUAUCAGGAGGAACACCUGCGGUGUAGACGGCUUACUGGACCAUGACUGACGCUGAGGCACGAAAGCGUGGGUAGCAAACAGG
rnacentral:rRNA from 1 species